rnacentral:rRNA from 1 species
GAUGAACGCUGGCGGCGUGCCUAAUACAUGCAAGUCGAGCGAACAGACGAGGAGCUUACUCCUCUGACGUUAGCGGCGGACGGGUGAGUAACACGUGGAUAACCUACCUAUAAGACUGGGAUAACUUCGGGAAACCGGAGCUAAUACCGGAUAACAUGUUGAACCGCAUGGUUCAACAGUGAAAGACGGUCUUGCUGUCACUUAUAGAUGGAUCCGCGUCGCAUUAGCUAGUUGGUAAGGUAACGGCUUACCAAGGCAACGAUGCGUAGCCGACCUGAGAGGGUGAUCGGCCACACUGGAACUGAGACACGGUCCAGACUCCUACGGGAGGCAGCAGUAGGGAAUCUUCCGCAAUGGGCGAAAGCCUGACGGAGCAACGCCGCGUGAGUGAAGAAGGUCUUCGGAUCGUAAAACUCUGUUAUUAGGGAAGAACAAAUGUGUAAGUAACUAUGCACGUCUCGACGGUACCUAAUCAGAAAGCCACGGCUAACUACGUGCCAGCAGCCGCGGUAAUACGUAGGUGGCAAGCGUUAUCCGGAAUUAUUGGGCGUAAAGCGCGCGUAGGCGGUUUUUUAAGUCUGAUGUGAAAGCCCACGGCUCAACCGUGGAGGGUCAUUGGAAACUGGAAAACUUGAGUGCAGAAGAGGAAAGUGGAAUUCCAUGUGUAGCGGUGAAAUGCGCAGAGAUAUGGAGGAACACCAGUGGCGAAGGCGACUUUCUGGUCUGUAACUGACGCUGAUGUGCGAAAGCGUGGGGAUCAAACAGGAUUAGAUACCCUGGUAGUCCACGCCGUAAACGAUGAGUGCUAAGUGUUAGGGGGUUUCCGCCCCUUAGUGCUGCAGCUAACGCAUUAAGCACUCCGCCUGGGGAGUACGACCGCAAGGUUGAAACUCAAAGGAAUUGACGGGGACCCGCACAAGCGGUGGAGCAUGUGGUUUAAUUCGAAGCAACGCGAAGAACCUUACCAAAUCUUGACAUCCUCUGACCCCUCUAGAGAUAGAGUUUUCCCCUUCGGGGGACAGAGUGACAGGUGGUGCAUGGUUGUCGUCAGCUCGUGCCGUGGGAUGUUGGGUUAAGUCCCGCAACGAGCGCAACCCUUAAGCUUAGUUGCCAUCAUUAAGUUGGGCACUCUAAGUUGACUGCCGGUGACAAACCGGAGGAAGGUGGGGAUGACGUCAAAUCAUCAUGCCCCUUAUGAUUUGGGCUACACACGUGCUACAAUGGACAAUACAAAGGGUAGCGAAACCGCGAGGUCAAGCAAAUCCCAUAAAGUUGUUCUCAGUUCGGAUUGUAGUCUGCAACUCGACUACAUGAAGCUGGAAUCGCUAGUAAUCGUAGAUCAGCAUGCUACGGUGAAUACGUUCCCGGGUCU